AGUUGAGUACGUGAAACCGUUCGGGGGUAAACGGACAGAGCCCGUGAAUCCGGGCUUGCGAAUUCAGGACCGAUCGGCGACGUCUCUUCGCGGAGUCGUGCGUGCGGAUCGGUUUGAUGUUUCGCCGGCCACCUUCGUCGGACGUCGCGACCCGUUUGGCGUUGAUCGAAGGAUCGAGGAGACAGUUUGCGUCGUUUCUACGGCGUGCAAGCGUCGUGGCGAUGCGAGCCCUCGAUUCCGAGUCAGCUCGCUCGACGGUAUGACAGUGGUGUCCGAGGGGUUGUACCCGUUUACGCGGUGUACACCUUCUCGGUGCCGGUCUGCGACGAUUCUUCGGGCCUCUUUCCGACCCGUCUUGAAACACGGACCAAGGAGUCUAACGUGUGCGCGAGUCGCGGGGUGUCGUCGACAGCGCGUUCCGAUCUUUCGGAGCGGCAGCCGUCGACGUUAUUCAAACGAAACCCGACGAAGGCGUAAUGAAAGUGAAUUUGGGAGGAUGGUGCCUCGAGUACACCUUCUCGGCGAAUUAAGCCGAGACCGAGUGCCCGCACUCCCGGGGCGUCCCACCAAGUCCGGCCGGUAUACGUGACAGCGGCGUUCUCGUCGCUGUCGGUUGCCGCCGAACUGGGGCGCACUCUGAGCGUACACGUUGGUACCCGAAAGAUGGUGAACUAUGCCCGGCCAGGAUGAAGUCAGGGGAAACCCUGAUGGAGGUCCGCAGCGAUUCUGACGUGCAAAUCGAUCGUCUGAGCUGGGUAUAGGGGCGAAAGACUAAUCGAACCAUCUAGUAGCUGGUUCCUUCCAA
rnacentral:rRNA from 1 species